rnacentral:tRNA from 1 species
AAGGCCUUAGCUUAGUUAAAGCGUCUGUUUUGCAUGCAGAAGAUGUGGGAUAGUGCCCUGCAGGUCUUA